GUCGAGGAGGGCGUCGGGGCGCCGUACGGCGCGGAGCUGCUGCUGGAGUUGUCCCGGCUGCUGCCCGGCGCCGUGGAGGUGAGACUCGGGGUGGGAAAACCCCCGGCGACCCCCGCUGACUGCCGGCUCCUCCGCCCCCCUCGCAGGUGUCCCGGCUGCGCGCUUUCUCUGGCUGCCCUCAGCAGCUGCCCGAGCCCGAGCUCUUCAUGCUGCUGCUGCUGGAGGUGCCCAGCUACGCGCAGCGCCUGGAGCUGAUGGUGCUGCAGGAGGAAUUCUCCCCGCGGCUCAGCGCGCUCCGCGCCUCCAUCCAAAUCCUGACCGACGCCGCCGAGGAGGUGGUGCGGUGCGAGGAGCUGCACGCGGUUCUGCACCUCGUCCUGAGCGCGGGGAACCAC